UACGGAGGGUGCGAGCGUUGUCCGGAAUCACUGGGCGUAAAGGGCGCGUAGGCGGCGCGAGCAGUCGGCGGUGAAAGCCCGGAGCUCAACUCCGGGUCGGCCGUCGAUACUCUCGUGCUUGAGCACUGUAGAGGCAGGUGGAAUUCCGGGUGUAGCGGUGGAAUGCGUAGAGAUCGGGAAGAACAUCGGUGGCGAAGGCGGUCUGCUGGGCCGUUGCUGACGCUGAGGCGCGACAGCGUGGGGAGCAAACAGG
rnacentral:rRNA from 1 species